rnacentral:rRNA from 1 species
GACGAACGCUGGCGGCGUGCUUAACACAUGCAAGUCGAACGGAAAGGCCCUGCUUUUGUGGGGUGCUCGAGUGGCGAACGGGUGAGUAACACGUGAGUAACCUGCCCUUGACUUUGGGAUAACUUCAGGAAACUGGGGCUAAUACCGGAUAGGAGCUCCUGCUGCAUGGUGGGGGUUGGAAAGUUUCGGCGGUUGGGGAUGGACUCGCGGCUUAUCAGCUUGUUGGUGGGGUAGUGGCUUACCAAGGCGUUGACGGGUAGCCGGCCUGAGAGGGUGACCGGCCACAUUGGGACUGAGAUACGACCCAGACUCCUACGGGAGGCAGCAGUGGGGAAUAUUGCACAAUGGGCGGAAGCCUGAUGCAGCAACGCCGCGUGCGGGAUGACGGCCUUCGGGUUGUAAACCGCUUUCGCCUGUGACGAAGCGUGAGUGACGGUAAUGGGUAAAGAAGCACCGGCUAACUACGUG